UGGAGAGUCCCAUGGACUCUAAGGAGCCUAGCGGGCUACAGUCCAUGGGGUCACAAAGAGUCAGACAUGACUGAGUGACUUUCACUUCACUUCACAGGCUAAUCAGAGCAUGGGAAGCCCAGUUUCUGAAUGGGAGGAUGGCAGGAGAUAUAUAACCUGGAAAAGGUGGGUCCCUGGGGCAGAACUGGCCUCCUGACAGCUCAGAAGGCCCUGAGACACCCUGCGAGCCACUGGAUGGGGUGGGAAGGAAGGAGUGGUGCCUUGGAGGUGAGAGAGCAGGAUGAUGAGGAGUCAAUUCAUCAGCUCUAUCAAACAGCCUGGGGAAAUUCCAGGAUUUCCAGCCUUUGGACUAGGUCUUUAAGAGAGACGUGGGCUGGUGCUUCUUUCUCCAGGCCUGAAUGCUAUGAAGCAUGUAGACAUCUGGAAUGUUCUCAGAAAAGCUUGGUUCUUCCUAAGUUCAGAGGAGUUGGGCAGGAAGGAACUAGAAUGGACAGGAGAAGAAAGCCACUCGUCAAAGGCACUUAAAUCAGCAAACAUCGUUGUGUCUGACCGUGUUUUGGGGUGAUUUAUGGGAAGUUCUAUGUGUUUAGAGGCAGUCAGGCCAGGCUGGAAUAACUGGUUGAAGAUUCUUCAUCUCACCCAUGUUAGAAGAACCUGGGAAGAAGUUGACCGGGAGGCAGAAAGCCAGAGCAAGACUCCUUGCUGGACAGGAAGUUCUGAGCAACAGGGGUUUGACUUCAUGUCGGAUGGUGAGCAGAAUGCCCUGGAUCUGGCUAUUGGCCUGUGGCAAGGACCCCUGGUCCUGAGUUUGGGGGUCCUACUGAGAAGGGAGACAUCAGUUCUACCAGGACUUUCUCUGGAAUUCGGCAAACCCCAGCUCUCUUAAUAGCAAGAGAGCACUCAAGUCCCUGCACAUAGGGUGCAGCCCUUAGUAAGUGUGCAUGUCCGUGAGAGAUGCUGAGCAGGCAGGCCGUGGGGAGGACGGGAUGUCCUAGAGCCAGGGAGAUGUCGGGAAACCUCAGCGGGACAUGUCCAUGAGCCUUUUGUCUAAGGCUCUCCCAGCUCCCUUUGCAGUCUCCUCUCCAUUCCAGUUCCUUCCAUCCCUUUAUCACUUCUGCUUACUCUUCAGUUUGACGUGCUCAUCCCAGCGCUGACCUCUCUGAGCCCCCUCUGGAAGGCCACAUCCUUAAUCCUCCACCCCGCCACCAACCGCCCCAUCCCAGACUGCAGACUACCCAGACAUGGCCUUAGUGCUGGCCUCCACGCGAUCCUGACUCAGAACCCCCAGCACAGCCUGCGGAUGGGACAUUUAAGGUGCAGAGGAACCAGUGCAUUGCAGGUCUUUGGAGGUUUUCUCCAGCUCAGCGAUGCACGAACUGUACAGUGGUGGGAAUCCUGCAGCUGUGCUUGCCCCCCUGAGCUUCAGUUUCAGGUCCAGAUCAGAUAAAGGCCCACGGUUGGCAGAGCACGGUGGAUCUGCCUCUGGGGUGGUAGGCAGCGCCAGUGAGCAGCCCUGUCCGUAUCCCAUGGGUAGACAGUGCGAAGGCUAACCUCAUGGUCAGGACCAAGUAUUAUACAGGCUACCGCACAAGAGCAGUCAGAACAACCGCAGCGUACAGCAGCUGGUUCCUUCUUUGGGGGUUUCUUUGUGAAAGUAAAAGGGGUUUUCUAACUCGAUCCCAUGGAGACCACUUUAGUUUCCAUUUUUCUCACAUGAUAACAUCUACAGAGGGGCUGCUUUCGAUGCGGGCACAUCACUUCUCAGACACGUGGUCUGUGUUUGGAACCAAAGCGAUACUUACUAAUCACCACAAUUAGGACCUACUGCGGGCUGCCAGGACCACCUCAGAGAGACUCUGCAUAUUCCAAGAGAAUUCAGAGCUGCUGCCCCACCCCCAACCCCCGAUAGCAGUGUCAACAGAAGCCCAGGUGUACUCUGACCUCCUGCAAAGCUUAACCUACCUAUUGAUCACUUGUGUCCCAAAGGACGCUGCUUCCUCUUGGAACAUACUUAAAAUUGUGUGUGUGUGUGUCCUGAAGUUUAAUGAGGGGAGCAUGUGAUAAGCUCAGCAUACAUUGAAUAUAGGUGUUAUCAGAAAUGAAGCUGUUAUCAGAAAUUCAAAUGUCUUGAAUUAGGACACUUUGCUCUCCUUUCUUUUAGGCAAUUCAUGCAAUUCCCGUGCUACCAAUACCCCACACCUAGAACAAGGGUACAGUUUUUCAUCAGGAAGACAGCGUAUACGGGUACAGAGCCCAGCUCCAUGAUUUUCUAGCGAGGUGACAGGUUUCAUAACCCUUCUCGAGUCUACUUCCUCUCGUUUCAGACGGAGAUGUCCGUUCCCCAUCGUGUAAGAUCCUUGGGAUGAUUAGAACUGUUAUUUAUGAAGUUUUGCACCAAGGCUUGAUAAUAAGUAAUCUUUAUCAUGAAUAUUGGCGGUACCAAUGUUUACAAACAAAAACAGGAAUCACUUCUUCAAAUGGCUGCACUUCCAUCGGAUAUUUUCAAGUCCCUCCAGUUGUCAGGCUCGGGUAAACAGAUGACCGUCUCAGUCACCCAGCCCUGGCGGAACUUCACAACCUUGCCUUGUUUGACACUGCCCCCAACCCCCACCGCCCCUGGAAGGAUGUUUUGAAAAGAAACAUUUUCCCUCCAUCAGGGUUCCUCUUUCUCCCUCGCCCUGUUGUCUUGCUGGAUGUGGGGGCGGCCGAAUGGGGGCUCGGGGGCCUGAGAAAAGGGGUGAAAAAAAACCCAACUGUGAAAACCCAAGAGAAACCGAAAGACGUGAACACUGGAAAAAAAGAAAACAGAAAAAGAGCUUCUUCAGGACCCAGGCGGUUAAGGAACUGGCCUCAACAGGAAGUGGGCAGGAGGCUGUUUGCAGUGCGCUCAUGGGAACUGAGUUGGAAAGUGCUGUGAGUGCCCAUGGUACCCAGUCUUCCUUUCAUGGGAAUUUAUGAUCAUCUCAGUUCAGGACCUGGCUUGAGGUUCACCCACGCACUCACCUAGGAGAAAGCUUUGACUAAACAGAGAAGACUCCAAAGCCAUCUGGAGAACGCCAUGCUUUUCAAGAAAGCAGUUUUGAAGUACCCUGGAAUGUUCUAGAAGUUUCUACUCAAGGAUAGUUUCGCCUGUCCCAAAGCUCACCUAAGAACUUUGGUAAAUAAAAGUUGGUUUUCU